rnacentral:rRNA from 1 species
ACCGGCGCACGGGUGAGUAACACGUAUCCAACCUGCCGCUUACUCGGGGAUAGCCUUUCGAAAGAAAGAUUAAUACCCGAUGGUAUAAAGAGUUCGCAUGUUCUCUUUAUUAAAGAAUUUCGGUAAGCGAUGGGGAUGCGUUCCAUUAGAUAGUUGGCGGGGUAACGGCCCACCAAGUCUACGAUGGAUAGGGGUUCUGAGAGGAAGGUCCCCCACAUUGGAACUGAGACACGGUCCAAACUCCUACGGGAGGCAGCAGUGAGGAAUAUUGGUCAAUGGACGAGAGUCUGAACCAGCCAAGUAGCGUGAAGGAUGACUGCCCUAUGGGUUGUAAACUUCUUUUAUAAGGGAAUAAAGUGAGGGACGUGUCCCUUUUUGUAUGUACCUUAUGAAUAAGGAUCGGCUAACUCCGUGCCAGCAGCCGCGGUAAUACGGAGGAUCCAAGCGUUAUCCGGAUUUAUUGGGUUUAAAGGGAGCGUAGGUUGACAUAUAAGUCAGCUGUGAAAGUUUACGGCUCAACCGUGAAAUUGCAGUUGAUACUGUAUGUCUUGAGUGUACAAGAGGUGGGCGGAAUUCGUGGUGUAGCGGUGAAAUGCUUAGAUAUCACGAAGAACUCCAAUUGCGAAGGCAGCUCACUGGGGUACAACUGACACUGAGGCUCGAAAGUGUGGGUAUCAAACAGGAUUAGAUACCAUGGUAGUCCACACA